GAUGAACGCUAGCGGCAGGCCUAACACAUGCAAGUCGAGGGGUAGCAGGAUUAAGCUUGCUUAAUUGCUGACGACCGGCGCACGGGUGCGUAACGCGUAUGCAACCUACCUUAUACUGGGGUAUAGCCCGGAGAAAUUCGGAUUAAUCCCCCAUAGUACUAAUGAAUCGCAUGGUUUAUUAGUUAAAGCAUUGCGGUAUAAGAUGGGCAUGCGUCCUAUUAGCUAGAUGGUGAGGUAACGGCUCACCAUGGCUACGAUAGGUAGGGGGCCUGAGAGGGUGGUCCCCCACACAGGUACUGAGACACGGACCAGACUCCUACGGGAGGCAGCAGUGAGGAAUAUUGGUCAAUGGGCGCAAGCCUGAACCAGCCAUGCCGCGUGCAGGAAGAAUGCCCUAUGGGUUGUAAACUGCUUUUAUUUGGGAAUAAACCUCUUUACGUGUAGAGAGCUGAAGGUACCAAAUGGAUAAGCACCGGCUAACUCCGUGCCAGCAGCCGCAGUAA
rnacentral:rRNA from 1 species